GAUGAACGCUAGCGGCAGGCCUAACACAUGCAAGUCGAGGGAGCAGUUCUUUCGGGGGGACGAACCGGCGCGCGGGUGCGUAAAGCGUGUCCUUCCUAUCUUUAACAGGGGGGUAGCCCGAAGAAAUUUGGAUUAAUACCCCAUAAUAUUAUUGGAUGGCAUCAAUUGAUAAUUCAAACUGCGGUGGUGAAAGAUGGGCAUGAGUCCUCUUAGCUAGUUGGAGUGGUAACGGGACUCCAAGGCUACGAUAGGUAGGGGUCCGUAGAGAGAGAUCCCUCCCACGGGUAGUGCGACAGGGACCAGACUCAUACGGGACGCAGCAGUGAGGAAGAGGGGGCAAUGGUGGGAAGACUGAACCAGCCAUGCCGCGUGCAGGAAAAAUGCCUGAUGGGUAGUAAGCUGCUUUUAUAGGAGAAGAAUUAGGCUUACGAGGAAGAUGAUGACGGUACCAUAUGAAUAAGCAUCGGCUAACUCCGUG
rnacentral:rRNA from 1 species